UACGUAGGGUGCGAGCGUUAAUCGGAAUUACUGGGCGUAAAGUGUGCGCAGGCGGCUUCGCAAGUCGAGUGUGGAAUCCCCGAGCUUAACUUGGGAAUUGCGCUCGAAACUACGGAGCUGGAGUGUGGCAGAGGAAGGUGGAAUUCCACGUGUAGCGGUGAAAUGCGUAGAGAUGUGGAGGAACACCGAUGGCGAAGGCAGCCUUCUGGGCCAACACUGACGCUCAUGCACGAAAGCGUGGGGAGCAAACAGG
rnacentral:rRNA from 1 species